ACUAAUCGAUGUAUUCUAAUUAAGGACUUGGAAUUAAUUAGCUAAGGGCCUUGCAUAACAAUUAAGCAGAUGUAAUUGACACUAAUAACUAAUCGAUGUAUUCUAAUUGAGGACUUGGAAUUAAUUAGCCAAGGACCGUGCGUAAUGAUUAAGCAGACGUAAUUGAUACUAAUAACUAAUCGAUGUAUUCUAAUUAAGGAGUUGGAAUUAAUUAGCCAAGGACCGUGCGUAAUGUUUA